UUGAGAACAUAAUUAGAUCCACCUAUUAAAAUUAUAUCUAAUAAAAUCAAAGUUUUCAUACUAAUUAUAUAAAAGAAUGAAGAAAUAGCAUAUGACUAAGCAACAUUGAUUUCUGGCUUAUUACUGAAUGACUUAUCUCCCCAGAAAACUGUCAUUUUAACAAUGCUUAAGUGCAUUACUACUGAUAUAGAAAGGACAUUACAGGGAAGAAGUGAGAAACAGAAUCUGGGGAGCACAGCUGGACUUAUGAUCCCACAAGGGGACCCCCACUGGAUCAGUCUGUUCCUGGAGGACUGCACUCCAUGGAAGGGACUCAUGCUGGAGCAGCUUGUAAGGAACUGUGGCCAGCGGGAAGGACUCAUGUUGGAGAAGUUGGUGCAGGACUGUCUCCUGUGGGAGGGACCCCAUGCUGGAGCAGAGGAAGAGUGUGAGGAGUCCUCCCACUGAGGAGGAAGGAGCAGCAAAGACCACGUGUGAUAAACUGACCUCAGACCCCAUUGCCUGCCCCCCUGCGCUGCUGAGAGGAAGGAGGUAGAGAGUUCAGGAGUGAAGCUGAGUCCAGGGAGAAGAGAACAAUGUGGGGAAGACGUUUUUAAGAUUUCAUUUUUUGUCUCAUUAUCCUGCUCUGAUUUGAUUAGUAAUAAAUUAAAUUAAUUUGCCUGA